rnacentral:rRNA from 1 species
UACGUAGGGGGCUAGCGUUGUCCGGAUUUAUUGGGCGUAAAGAGCGUGUAGGCGGCCAGGUAGGUCCGGUGUGAAAACUCGAGGCUUAACCUCGAGAUGUCAUCGGAAACCAUCUGGCUAGAGUCCGGAAGAGGAAAGUGGAAUUCCUGGUGUAGCGGUGAAAUGCGCAGAUAUCAGGAAGAACACCAAUGGCGAAGGCGGCUUCCUGGACCGGUUCUGACACUGAGGAGCGAAAGCGUGGGGAGCGAUCCGG